rnacentral:rRNA from 1 species
GUAGGGYGCGAGCGUUAAUCGGAAUUWSUGGGYGUAAAGCGUGYRCAGGCGGUUAUAUAAGACAGUUGUGAAAUCCCCGGGCUUAACCUGGGAACUGCAUCUGUGACUGUAUANCUAGAGUACGGCAGAGGGGGAUGGAAUUCCGCGUGUAGCAGUGAAAUGCGUAGAUAUGCGGAGGAACACCGAUGGCGAAGGCAAUCCCCUGGGCYUGUACUGACGCUCAUGCACGAAAGCGUGGGGAGCAAACAGGAUUAGAUACCCUGGUAGUCCAGGCCCUAAACGAUGUCUACUGGKUGUUGGGUCU